UACAGAGGGUGCAAGCGUUAAUCGGAGUUACUGGGCGUAAAGCGCGCGUAGGUGGUUCGUUAAGUUGGAUGUGAAAUCCCCGGGCUCAACCUGGGAACUGCAUUCAAAACUGUCGAGCUAGAGUAUGGUAGAGGGUGGUGGAAUUUCCUGUGUAGCGGUGAAAUGCGUAGAUAUCGGAAGGAACACCAGUGGCGAAAGCGACUUCCUGGUCCAAUACUGACGUUCAUGUGCGAAAGCGUGGGGAGCAAACAGG
rnacentral:rRNA from 1 species